rnacentral:ncRNA from 2 species
GCAGAUGACCGUGCUUUCGGUCCGGGCGUUUGAAAAAGCGUUUGGUGAAAAGGGAACGCGGUGCUUUGGCAAUUGCCAGAAAAUCCGCGACUGCCCCCGCAACUGUGAGCGGUGAGCGAUGCUGCAUAUGCCACUGGCGCCAUAGACGGUGUUGGGAAGGCCAGCAAAGCGAAGACCCGCAAGUCAGGAGACCUGCCGUUGGCCAACACCCAGU